rnacentral:rRNA from 1 species
GGCCCGUCUACGAUGUCGAUUUGGAGGUUGUGCCCUUGAGGCGUGGCUUCCGAAGCUAACGCGUUAAAUCGACCGCCUGGGGAGUACGGCCGCAAGGUUAAAACUCAAAUGAAUUGACGGGGGCCCGCACAAGCGGUGGAGCAUGUGGUUUAAUUCGAUGCAACGCGAAGAACCUUACCUACUCUUGACAUCCAGCGAAUCCUGUAGAGAUACGGGAGUGCCUUCGGGAACGCUGAGACAGGUGCUGCAUGGCUGUCGUCAGCUCGUGUUGUGAAAUGUUGGGUUAAGUCCCGCAACGAGCGCAACCCUUAUCCUUUGUUGCCAGCGGUUCGGCCGGGAACUCAAAGGAGACUGCCAGUGAUAAACUGGAGGAAGGUGGGGAUGACGUCAAGUCAUCAUGGCCCUUACGAGUAGGGCUACACACGUGCUACAAUGGCGUAUACAAAGAGAAGCGAACUCGCGAGAGCAAGCGGACCUCAUAAAGUACGUCGUAGUCCGGAUUGGAGUCUGCAACUCGACUCCAUGAAGUCGGAAUCGCUAGUAAUCGUGGAUCAGAAUGCCACGGUGAAUACGUUCCCGGGCCUUGUACACACCGCCCGUCACACCAUGGGAGUGGGUUGCAAAAGAAGUAGGUAGCUUA